ensembl:lincRNA
AUGGGGGUGCUGCUUAAAACACAGGCAGAGUCGCGGGGUUGCGGCCUCUCAUGGGUGUUCACAGACGGCCCUGGCCCCAAGUCCUAUGCACACUUUCUUUUAUCAACUCAUGUACACAAAAAGGACACCGAGUGUUCUUGCCGUUCCUCCAUUUUCCCUUUGAAGACCUGGGGCUGGCUGCUCGGAAGAGGCUGGAACACACCCUUUGAUGGUACAGACUGGCUUAGCCAUGGGUUUCCGUGCGGUUACUUCAGAGCUUUUCAAAACCUAAGGGAUCACAAGAGAUGUCUGCUGGUUGUGGACUUGUUGCCUUGAGGAAUUCCCUGCCCAGUUGAAGAGCUUCUGGCUUCUUCUAUUAGCAAGUCCAAACACCAGUGACAACACUGACAGCCAUCCUUCUCUGGACUACAGCACAGAAGGGCCAACGAAGAACUGUGGGUGAAGUGGAGGGACCCUCAGAGACACUUCUCUUCCCACUACUACUGCCGACGGAUUGCUGGAGACUCCACUUCGCUGUCUUCCAGACCUGAGCUAAAUGGGGAAGACCGGUCACUGUCGUCCUCUUGUCAUAGAUGACUAGAACAGCUUGACCAAGGGUAAACGGCAGCAGAUUCAAAAAUCAAACCAGCUGUCCCAGGCAUCUGCUCUCUUCUGAGUAUUAGGUUGUGCUACCACCCACCUCUCAUUAUUUCCAGAAGGAAAAAUGUGCAGUUUUAAUCAUUUUUUGGAUUGCAGAUAAAAGGUGAAAUGAGGUCUUCUUCGCCUUCUGCAUCACUUCCUUCUCUUCCUGACAAGAGGCCCCCUCACCCAGUUAGAUGAAGAGGAAUAGACAAAGAU